rnacentral:rRNA from 1 species
GACGAACGCUGGCGGCGUGCCUAAUACAUGCAAGUAGAACGCUGAAGAGAGGAGCUUGCUCUUCUUGGAUGAGUUGCGAACGGGUGAGUAACGCGUAGGUAACCUGCCUUGUAGUGGGGGAUAACUAUUGGAAAUGAUAGCUAAUACCGCAUAACAAUGGAUGACACAUGUCAUUUAUUUGAAAGGGGCAAUUGCUCCACUACAAGAUGGACCUGCGUUGUAUUAGCUAGUAGGUGAGGUAAUGGCUCACCUAGGCGACGAUACAUAGCCGACCUGAGAGGGUGAUCGGCCACACUGGGACUGAGACACGGCCCAGACUCCUACGGGAGGCAGCAGUAGGGAAUCUUCGGCAAUGGGGGCAACCCUGACCGAGCAACGCCGCGUGAGUGAAGAAGGUUUUCGGAUCGUAAAGCUCUGUUGUAAGUCAAGAACGGGUGUGAGAGUGGAAAGUUCACACUGUGACGGUAGCUUACCAGAAAGGGACGGCUAACUACGUG